rnacentral:tRNA from 1 species
UCCUGACUGGCUCAGUGGGUGGGUGGGGCGUGAGGCUCUUGAUCUUGGUGUUGUGGGUUCGAGCCCCACGUGGGGUG